GACGAACGCUGGCGGCGUGCUUAACACAUGCAAGUCGAACGGACAGGCCCUGCUUUUGUGGGGUGCUCGAGUGGCGCACGGGUGAGUAACACGUGUGUAACCUCCCCUUGUCUUAGGGAUAUCUUUUGGGAACUGCGGCUAAUACACGGUAGAAUCUCUUGCUCCAUGGUGGGGGAUGGUGAGUUUCGGCGGUGCGGGCUGGACUCGAGGCUUAUCAGCUUGUUUGUGAGGUAGUGGCUUACGAAGGCUGCGACGGGUAGGCGGCCUGGGAGGGUGAACGGCGACCAUGCGACUGAGGGACGGACCAGACGGCAACGGGAGGCAACAGUCGGGAAUAUUGCGGAAUGGGCGGGAGCCAGAGGUGGAGACGCUGGGAGCGGAAUGACGGGUUACGGGUUAUAAACCGAUUUCGCCUGUGACGAGGAGUGAGUGACGGUAACGGGUAAAAAAGCAACGGCUAACUACGUG
rnacentral:rRNA from 1 species